CUACCAUGGCGUUUACGGGUAACGGAGGAUUAGGGUUCGAUUCCGGAGAGGGAGCCUGAGAAACGGCUACCACAUCUAAGGAAGGCAGCAGGCGCGUAAAUUACCCAAUCCUGACUCAGGGAGGUAGUGACAAGAAAUAACGGACCGCGGCCUUCGGUCGACGGGAUUGCAAUGAGCCGAAUUUACACCCCUUAGCGAGGAUCGAUUGGAGGGCAAGUCUGGUGCCAGCAGCCGCGGUAAUUCCAGCUCCAAUAGCGUAUAUUAAAGUUGUUGCAGUUAAAAAGCUCGUAGUUGGAUUUCUGGGAGGGUGCCAAUGUCCGCUGAUUCGCGUGCGCAGCGGCGCCCUUCCAUCCUUCUGUUAACGACUCUUGGCAUUCAUUUGCUGGUGGCGGGCUCAGAUAUUUUACCUUGAGAAAAUUAGAGUGUUUCAGGCAGGCUAGGCCGGAAUACAUUAGCAUGGAAUAAUGGAAUAGGACUACGGUCUCUUUGUUGGUUUGAGGGGCUGCAGUAAUGAUUAAUAGGGAUAGUUGGGGGCAUUAGUAUUUAAUUGUCAGAGGUGGAAUUCUCGGAUUUGUUAAAGACUAACUUAUGCGAAAGCAUUUGCCAAGGAUGUUUUCAUUAAUCAA
rnacentral:rRNA from 1 species